rnacentral:rRNA from 1 species
CAGUCGCCGCGGUAAUACGGAGGAUCCAAGCGUUAUCCGGAAUCAUUGGGUUUAAAGGGUCCGUAGGCGGUUUAGUAAGUCAGUGGUGAAAGCCCAUCGCUCAACGGUGGAACGGCCAUUGAUACUGCUGAACUUGAAUUAUUAGGAAGUAACUAGAAUAUGUAGUGUAGCGGUGAAAUGCUUAGAGAUUACAUGGAAUACCAAUUGCGAAGGCAGGUUACUACUAAUUGAUUGACGCUGAUGGACGAAAGCGUGGGGAGCGAACAGGAUUAGAUACCCCUGUAGUCCCUGUCUCUUAUAC